GCCGAAGUGGCGGAAUUGGUAGACGCGCUUGUUUCAGGGACAAGUGAGCGAAUGCUUGUGGGAGUUCGAAUCUCCCCUUCGGCACCA
rnacentral:tRNA from 2 species